rnacentral:rRNA from 1 species
AUUGAACGCUAGCGGGAUGCUUUACCCAUGCAAGUCGAACGGCAGCGCAAGGAAGCUUGCUUUCUUGGCGGCGAGUGGCGAACGGGUGAGUAACAUAUCGGAACGUGCCCAGUAGCGGGGGGAUAACUACGCGAAAGCGUGGCUAAUACCGCAUACGCCCUAAGGGGGAAAGAGGGGGGAUCUUCGGACCUUUCACUAUUGGAGCGGCCGAUAUCGGAUUAGCUAGUUGGUGGGGUAAAGGCCUACCAAGG